AAGUCGUAACAAGGUUUCCGUAGGUGAACCUGCGGAAGGAUCAUUAACACGUAUCCAAACGUUAAACCCCCCCGUGAACCUUCAGUGUACUCGUACGUCCGUUAGAAAAAGCAGCAAUCCCUGGUAAAUCAUCGCCGAACAGUUUUCGAUUCAGGGACGUCUGCAAGGAGCGUGCAUGUUGUGCGAAGCAAGUGGCCUGGCAUCCCCAAGCAGUUAGUGUCUGAAAGUGUCAUUAAUUGUGUAAGGAUGACGCAGUCACGAUCGUUGGAGGCCCACACGGCCGACGACAGGGUCACUGGGCGCAAGCCCCCCUAUAACAAACGCUGCUAAUCGCGGCCGCGAUAAUACACAGUCGACCAAAAACCGAACAACUGUUAACAAUGGAUAUCUUGGUUCUC
rnacentral:misc_RNA from 1 species